AAUUUAAAUAUAAAAUUUUUUAUUUAUUUGUUUUAUUUAUUUAUUGAUUUUUAAAGUUAUAUAAAAAAAUUUUGUUUUAUUAUUUUUUUAGAAAUAAUUAUUUUAUUAAUAGUAUUUAGUAAUGUGAAUGAAAAAUUUAAAUAAAAAGAAGUAGAAAUGUUUUUGUACCUUUUGUAUCAGGGUUGAUUAAAAUUAUUUUAAUAAUAUUAAAUAUCUCGAAAAUAAAAGAGCUAAAUUUAUAAAAUUUUUUUUGUGGCAAUAAAAUUAUAAAUAUAGAUUUAGAAAUUAAAUGUUAAUCGAAUUUAUUGAUAUCUAGUUUUUUUAGAAAUAAAUUUAAUUUAGAUAUAAAUAUUUUAUAAAAUAAAAAUUGUUUUUUUUUUUAUAAUUUUUAUAUUAAAAAUUUAUGGGAUAACCUAUAAAUUUAAUAAUAAAAAUAAGUAUUUUAAUAUUUAAAAUUUUAUGGAUAUAAAAUUUAUUUUUAAUUUAAAAAAUUUAAUAAUUUAGUUAUUUAGUAUAUAAUAAUAUAUUUAUAUAUAAAUAAAGAUUUAAGAAUUUAUAUUUUAUUAAUCUAUAAAAAUAUAUAUUUAAAUUUUUAAAAUAUAGAAAUAAUGAUUAAAUUAGUAAUAUGUAAUAUUAUAUAAAUUAUUAAUUAAUAAAUUAUAUAAUUUAAAGGAACUCGGCAAAAUUAUUAUUCACCUGUUUAUCAAAAACAUGUCCUAUUGAUAAUAAUUUUAGGUCGAUCUGCUCAAUGAAAUAUUUUUAAUAGCUGCAGUAUAUUGACUGUACAAAGGUAGCAUAAUAAAUUGUCUUUUAAUUGAAGAAUUGAAUGAACGAAUUAAUGAAAUAAUAACUGUCUCUGAAUUAUUAAAUGAAUUUAAAUUUUUAGUUAAAAUUCUAAAAUUUAAUUAUGGGACGAUAAGACCCUAUAGAAUUUUAUUUAAUAUUUUAUUUAUUAAAUAAUUAUUAAUUUGUAAAUAAGAUGUUAAAUUUGAUUGGGAGGAUUGAUAAAUUAAUUAAACUUUAUUUAAUAUUUAAUUUUGAUUUAAAGAUAGAUAUUGAAUUAUAAUUUAUAAUUAAUAGAGUAAAUUACCUUAGGGAUAACAGCGUAAUAUCUUUUGAUAGACCAUAUAGAUAAAGAUGAUUGCGACCUCGAUGUUGAAUUAAGAUUAAAAUUAAACGCAGAAGUUUAAAUUUUGAGUCUGUUCGACUCUUAAAAUCUUACAUGAUUUGAGUUCAAAUCGACGUAAGUCAGAUUGGAUUCUAUCUAUAAUAAAAAUUAAAUUAAUUGUACGAAAGGACCUUAAUUUAUAAAUUAUUUAAAAAAAAAAUACUAAAUUAUUUAGUUA
rnacentral:rRNA from 1 species